UACGUAGGAGACGAGCGUUGUCCGGAGUUACUGGGCGUAAAGGGUGCGCAGGUGGCGGCGCGCGUGGGGGGUGAAAUCGCCCGGCUUAACUGGGCGGGGGCCUUCCAGACGGCGUGGCUUGAGCAGCGGAGGGGGACGUGGAAUUCCGGGUGGAGCGGUGAAAUGCGUUGAUAUCCAUGGGGACUCCGGUGGCGAAGGCGGCUCACUGGCCCGAUACUGACGCUGAGGCACGAAAGCGUGGGGAGCAAACAGG
rnacentral:rRNA from 1 species